rnacentral:rRNA from 1 species
UACGUAGGAGGCGAGCGUUGUCCGGAUUUACUGGGCGUAAAGCGCGUGUAGGCGGUUUUGUAAGUCUGACGUGAAAUCCCCGGCUCAACCUGGGAAUUGCGUUGGAGACUGCAAGGCUGGAGUCUGGCAGAGGGGGGUAGAAUUCCACGGUGUAGCAGUGAAAUGCGUAGAGAUCCGGAGGAACACCAGUGGCGAAGGCGACACGCUGGGCCGUACCUGACGCUAAAGCGCGACAGCAUGGGGAGCAAACGGG